UAACUCUCUAACUUUGCUUAAUGAAUGAACCGUGCGUUGGCCUAGUGGUUAAUAAACGUCGUGUAAAUGAUAAGGGACUAGAGAGAGCGAGUUUAAGUCAUGGUGGUCGCUGCUUAUAUCUACAAUUUAAUGUUCUACAAGUUACCUCGGUAAUCAAAUAUAAUAGGGUCAUUGGGACUAGAGAGAACGAGUUUAAGUCAUGGUGGUCGCUGCUUAAAGUUACCUUGGUAAUCAAAUAUAAUAGGGUCAUUGUCGUUUGCUUAAUGAUGUUGUAAAUAUUGAGUAGGUAUUGGCACCGUGCAGCCCUUGUUCUCAAAGAUCUUAUGCUUCUUUGAGUGUAA